CUCGAUCAAACAAUCAGAACACUCUCAGCUGCUGCCUGCUUGCCAAUCAUAGAAGUAGGCUGACUGACAAGGAGGAGGGCCCAAACACAAAACACAAACAAACAACAAUAAAUCCACCAUUCAUCCGCAAUAUUAAUACAUUAGCAACUCCUUAUAGGCUCCAACACAGAAUGCUGGGGAACCAGAGCCACAAGUCCUUUAUGUUGAUAGAGACUGAUGUAGUGAAUCAGGUGUGCCUCCGGUGCUUGAGUGGUUUCGACCUUGGAAAACUAAAGUGAGGCUUGACAUCUUUCAUUACAUGAGGCGAUUCACAACCGGUCUCACCACAGAACUUCAUCCUCUUUAUGGAACUUUCUGCUCCAAGUUGUCCUGCUGCGUUUUUGAAUGGGAUCGAGAUGAUGUCAGCUGCCUUAAAGAAGCAAAGAGGUCAGAGCUGAAGAAAAAAUAUGCUGGUCAUCCUCCCACAUUAAUUCCAGUGAGCUUGCUAAACAUUGCAGAAGAAGGACAAGAGGGGUAGAAGAAACCCGGAACCUCAUUCAGGAAUUAUUAAACUCCAUGUGGGAACUGACUGACACCUCAGGUCUCCGCCUGAUCAACCCUGAGAGCAUGACUCGUGUGGCAAAUGCAGCAGAAGCACCUGCCAUGCAUCCAAGAUCCACCUGGUGUUGAACUGUACACCAAGCUUCACUCAGCACAAAAGGGAGACAAAGAAGUUCAAACCUUCAGAUGUGGCAGGGGCUCGUCUUCAGUUGAAAGCUUUCAUCGACACCAGUGUUCCUUCAUACCAGGAUGGAGAAGCAAUGCCAUGCACACUCAAAUGUA